CCAGGAUAUACAAGCAAGUGGUUCAUUUUAGCUUGUGUUGGUUAGCAGGUGUAGUUCGCUAGCAGCUAGGCUAGCUUUAGACACUGCCAACAUCAGUGGCUAUGGCUUUUGGGAUUUGUCUCAGUGUGACCUUGCUCCUGUCUGUGUGGACAACUGCAAAAUGUGAUAUUCCCAGUGAAGGUCUCCGUAUG